UACAGAGGGUGCAAGCGUUGUUCGGAAUUAUUGGGCGUAAAGAGCUCGUAGGCGGUUCGUCGCGUCGGCUGUGAAAUCCCGAGGCUCAACCUCGGGUCUGCAGUCGAUACGGGCGGACUGGAGUACUGCAGGGGAGACUGGAAUUCCUGGUGUAGCGGUGAAAUGCGCAGAUAUCAGGAGGAACACCGAUGGCGAAGGCAGGUCUCUGGGCCACUACUGACGCUGAGAAGCGAAAGCAUGGGGAGCGAACAGG
rnacentral:rRNA from 1 species